UCCACCACCUUAGAGCGAGAGAAAGAUGCAAAUGUAUAGAGAGAGAAGAUAGUGAGAGAGAAUCGUGAGGGAGUGGUGGCUGACCACCGCCUUUGGUGGCGGAGCCACGCCGACGCCACCUGAUUCCGGCGCCUCUACAACCCCAACUGACGAACAACGGCUGAGGGUUUAAGAGAGAGACGCUGUGUAGACGAUGGUCAUGACGACGCUUUGUGGGGUAAUCCAAAUACCCACCGCUUUUUCUCCUUUCUUCAAAACCUAACCCUAACCCACAUGAAAGAGAGUCUGGAGAGAAAGAGAGGGGAGAAGAGAUAGGAGACAGAGGCGGAGAAGUCUUCGGCUUCGACACGGUGGACGCGCCGAACAUGGCUCUCCAGCGUCGACAUAACAGACGGGUCCGCCGUACAUGGUGGUGGAGUUAUGUCGGUUCUCCGGCGUCGGCAACGGUGAAGAGGCAUCCACCGGGUUUUUCGGUGCAAAUGAGAUUCCGACAGUGAGUUACGAUUUUGAGCCUGCCGUAACGGUGGAACCUCCGGUGGUGUAUCAGAAUAAACAGUCAGAUGUGGAUUUGGAGGCUGCGACAGAAUUAAAAGAGAAACAACCGGUCAACCGAACAUGGAUCUCCGGCGUCGAAGGUGUUAUAUUCGAGAUUAAAUGAGGCAAAGGAAAAAUAUUCUGAUGGAUGGCUUUGUUUUUGGACUAGCCCAUCAGAAUUUGUAAUUCCAUUAGCCAAGUACUAUAAAGCAGUCUACAACAACCAGAUAUCUCUUGGCAUGUGGUUCCAAUUGAUGUUCGAGACUAAAGAACUGGGAACAAGAAUGUAAAGAGGCAUAUGGGUACGAUUACUUAGGCAUAUGGGUAUGAUUACUGGUAUUAGUGAUCUGAAUGGUGUUCGAUGGAAGAACUCGCAAUGGCAUAACCUACAGGUUUGCUGGCACGAGGCAACUGCUGGCGAAAGGCAUGACCGUGUAUCGAUUUGGGAGAUUGAGCCCAUUACAACCCUUUUUCAUUCAUAUAUCCCACCCUUUUAGCAAACAAAACGACCCAACCAAGAAGGAAUGUUAGGUGGCGAGUUAGCGGAUAUUGAUAAUAGGUUAAAGAGAACAAAGUUGUGUCUUUAGUCUAAUGGAUGAACACGCAGCAAAACCCGUCUAUGGCUAAUCAAAUCCAACCGGGUUAUUUGAACCUGUUGAUGUGAAAGUCGAAAAUUCAAAUUCUCAUUUUUUCCCUUCUUUCUUUCAACUAUUUAAAUUCAUAAGUUAUAAAGUUAUCUUCUUUAUAAUCGCAGAUUGAUAAACAUGGGAGCUGGUCAUGUAAGCGUGAAGUAUGGCUUCAAAAAACUGAACCGUUGUCGACGAUGCAUCAAGAAUGAUCCAGUUUGGCCAUCCAGCAUUGAUGUUUUAUCUAUAGCAAGGUUUUGCAUUAAAAGGACU